UGAUCUAAAUCUGGGUAACAGUAAGUUGCAUUCUGUGUUUCAACAUAUAAUUUAUUAAGCUGCUAGAUAACCUUAAUGUGAAUAAAAUUAAGUCUUCCCCAGGGCCAAAUGUACCCUCAUAAUGGAGACAUAUGUGGACAUAGACAAAUAUAAUUCAAGACACAAUAAUGUAAAUGACCUAAGUGGAGCAUAGAUGAACUCUUCUGGAAUUCUCUGAAGACAGUACUAGGUUGAAAUCUGAACAGGAAAAAAUUCAUGAAGAGGAUGGCAUAUAAGCAGAAUUUUGAAUCAUUGAUUGAGAUUUCAGUUGGUGGAAAUGAUGGGAAAAUGCAAUCCGAUUAGGCAAGUUUUAAUAUCAUAGAAGUAAAAUGAAAAAAGUAAAUGAGUUUGCCUCACCAGAAUGUGGGAUAAUCUUCGAAUAAAACAUAGGCAAGGCAGUUUGGGAUAAACCUGUGUUUAAAAAAAAAAUAAAGAUGACACUUUCAUAUCUGAGCAACUAGCUAUAUAAAAUAUAAAGAAGUUAUAGAAGGGUGAGUGAAAAGCAAAAAAAAAAAUGUAUUUAAGUCAUAAAAUAUGUCUGCCAAACUGCAAGGAUAAUAAGUCCUACUAUUGGGAAAUAUCAUUGUUUUAUUACAUGUAUUAAUAGAUUGGCAGCUGUAAGUGUCAAGGUGUGAACUGAGAAAGAACUAUUCUGUAUAAAGGAGGAGAUAAAAAUGCAUUUCCAUUUUUGAAAAAUUCAAGAAAAAAAUUCAGAGAAGUCUGAGAUUAAGUAUGUUUGGAAAGAGGGUCAAAGGAGGGAAAAAAUCAAGAAAAGUCAAAAAGAGACUUAAGGAUUUAAAAAAGAGAGCUACAUCUAACAAGAUAUUUUUAAGUUAUUUUCUCAAGGCCUUGUGAUAUUGGUAACUUUUACUGUCUCUCCUAUAUAUAGGACAUUCUAUGGUGGAUGUACAGCAGUGCUGAGUUCUGUAUCCACAGGGGCAGAAGUCUUAAGAGAAGUUCUGAAAGCUGGAGUCUGUGACGAUUUCACUUUACCCUGCAGCGGAGGACCUUAACCUGCAGGGAAAGAAGUCUGGAGUUCAUUGAGCAGAUAAUGAGAUGCCGUUGAAGUUUGGUUUGGUUUUGCUUGUUUAUUUUAAUCAAAUAUGUGCUUUAGAAAUAUACCUCUGGCAGAAAUCUAGAAAAUAUCUUGGAAGGGGAGAUUGGGAUGGAGAGAGACAGAUUAUGAGAACAUUGAAAUAAUCUGAUCCAGAAGAAUUGAUAACAAACAAAGUCAAAAGAAAUUCGCAUACCACUGAUGUGAGUAAUUUGAAAAAUGGGACAUCAAAAAUGGCUCCUGACAAUGAAAAUGCAAGCUACCUUCAGUAGUCUUAUUGUUAGUAGGGAUAUUAUAUUAAUACCUAUUUUAAAACUAUUUUAUGAAUAAGUUCAUUAAUUAAAUUAGAAACUACUAUUUUUCAUUAUAAGAGAUAAUAUUGUUAUUCAAUGAACAAUAUUAUUGUUCAUUCAAUCAUUGUUCAUUCAAUGAACAAAAUUAAGUAAAACAAUGCUAUCUUAAAUUUGUUUAUAAAUAUCACUAGAAGCUCAUUUUUUUUCUUGUACAUGCAUGUAUAUUUAGCUCUAUUUUCUUAAAAAUGCCUAGGAGUAUUGACAAGCAAUAACAAUGAGCACUCCAGAUCCUUGAUCAUUGUCUCUCAAUACCACUUGCACAUCAAUAGGAAACAAGAUCCAACGUGAAGAUGGUUUCCACUGGUCCAAGAUGAAAUCCUCUAGCAGCAAGCAGCCACACUCAGAACGUGGAGGAUUCAGCAAGAUGGAUGAUACAUUUUCUCCAACGAAUCAAUGGCAUACACAAAAUAAGAUCAGGAUGCUAUUUGUAGGAUAAAAAAAAAAUUAGGAAAUAUAAUGACUAAAUACAAUAUAUGGUCCUCAUUUAGAUCUAACUAGAACAACCUGACUGUUAAGAUUUAUCUUUGAUACAAUCAGGAAAACAUUGGAUGGUAUUAAAAUUGGCCCGUAUUUCUCUUAGGUGUACUGUAUCAUAAUAGGAAGAAGAAGAAGGAGAAAGAAAAAUACCCUUCUAAGUUUAAAAUGUAUUCUCAAGUUUUGUUUGUCUGUUUGUUUGUUUAUGAUGAAAUGAUAGGAUGUCUAGAGUUUGCCUUAAAGUACUCCAGGGAAUAAAGUGAAGCAAAAUGUGUGUGGAGGUGAGUUGGGGGCAGGAUAGAGGAGUGGGAGGGAAUCAGCUUAGGAAAAUGUUAAAAAUUAUUUGAAGCUGAGUGAUAUGUACAUGCAAUUUAUUAAACUGUUUUCUGUAACUUCAUGUAUGUCUAGAAAUUUGCACAAAAACAUGUUCAAAGAAAAGAUAACCCUGAGUUUUAAGCUACCAGGUAGACUAUUUUAAUAACCAUAUAGCUGAUCUCUCCACCUCAUGUAUCUCCCUAUUCAAUUCGUCGCCUAAACUGUUACCGUUUUCUUUGUUUUUUGAUCAUGUGACUUCUCAGCUUCCAUAGACUUCACAGGGCUCACAUUGCUUGUCAGAUUUAGCAGAAACACAUAUAGGGCUUGCCUUUGAAGUCCUUCUUGCUUUUUCUAAAUUUUUUUUUUUGAAGUAUGAUUCACAAAACAUAAAAGUAUUGUUUUAAAAUGAACAACUCAAUGGCAUUUAGUAUAUUCACAGUGGUAUACAAACAGCACCUCUACUCUAGUUCCAAAACAUUUACAUAAUUCUAAAAGAAAACCCAUUAAAUAGUUACUUUAACGUCCUUUUUCAUCUGGCCCAAAGUAAAGAGCUGGAUAUGUCCUGGAAUAUGGCCCGUACCUUUCUCAGUUCAUUUGUGCUCACAUUGGUUCUUCAGUAAUGCCUUCCUUCAUUACUGUCCUUAAUUAGAAAACCCAUUUAAGACCCAAACCAACUCCACAUCAUUCAUGAAGUCUCUGAAAUGACAUUGGUUUGAUCUACUUCUUUCAAUUCUAAUGCUGACAAAUCUAACAAUGAUGACAGACUAUGUUUUUAUGGAAUUACAAUGAACAUACAAUUUUAUUUCAUAAUUAUUUUUAAUGAUCAUAGAGUCAAAGAACCUUAGAAGACAGACUAUUCAAAUCGCAACCAGUUCUUUAGGCCAUUGCAUCUAAGGGGAGAAAAACUGAUUUUGGAAUCAGAGAAAAACAGAGCUCACACAUCUGCACUAGGUAAAUGCUCUGGAAAGAGGCUAACUCCACAUUAAAUCAGUGUGGGAGAGAAUGUUACCAUGAUUGCCAAUACUGUCAAAGUUUCUAGUAAUAGAAAGUGUUCCAAAACAAUUUUUAAAACAAAUUGAAACAAAACGUGCAGUGAGGCUGAAAAUAAUAAUGAGAAGAAUCUAUGAGUGUAAAUGUUCAGCAUUUGAAAGCUCUCCACAAGGUCAUUACUGGCAAAUGCAUUUAUGUUGGUUGGACCUGGCAUGUGAACUAGGCAGGAGAGCCAGAGAUUUCCAUCCCCACCUGGUUUUACUCCAUGGCUUCAUCAGUUUCAUGGUCCCCAUUCCUGCCAGGAGCAAAGCCUGGCACAGGUGAGAAUGAAUCACAGAAAUCAGGAAUACUGGAGCUGUAAAAAGCCUAUGUGCUUUAGAGGUAACCAAGCCCUAUUUCAUCAUUGUAUAGAUGAAGAAAUGAGGCUCUAAGAAAAGUAGACUGACUUCUGAAAUUUACUUAACUGGUAGAGCAAAGUAAGUCUUAGAAUACAAAUAUUCUGGUGCCGAUUCCAAGGCUUUUUCUGCUGCAGAACUUAAAUUAUUUAUUUAUAUUCAUUAAAUUUUAAUUAACUUACUUAUUUCAUUUUUGUGUGUAAAGGGUUUUCUUUAAAAGUUCAGUUGGUGAAGGUCAAGGAAAUCAGACUCCUUGAAGGUCAAGGAAAUCACACCCAAGCUUGCACCUGUCCCUGACAUACUGCUGCUGACUACCAAGCUGCAGUGCACGGCAACUUCCUUAAGUGUUUACUGAGCCCUACAGUAGAGGUGAACAAUUGGAAUGAAGAAUAUCAAGGAUUCCUGAAAGAAAAUCAAUUUUGAAUGAACUUUUCUUGCUUAGCCACAGCUCCAAUAUUCUGAGUCAUACUGUAUUUUUGUGGACUUCCAUUGACUUAAGUGACAGAAAUGGCAAUCGGGAGGACAGUGAAUUUCAUGAUAUGCAUUUAACCUAUGGCACUGCACAAAAUAAUUACUCAUGUACAAUUGUAAGGUAAAAAAAAAUACUCAGAAUACUCAGGUCUCCUCAACUGUGAUACUAAUCUUAGGGAAUGGGGAAAUCUCAUAGGAGCAUAAUGCCAUUUUAAUGAAGACUUUAGCUGUUCUUCAAAAAUAUUUGUAUCAUAAAAAAUAGUAAUUAUUUAUGAGUCACUCUCUCAGGAGGUCAGAUCCCUUCAAGGGUCAUGCCAUCAACCAAAAACUUCCUAAAUGGGAGCUUUUGGGAGUGUUCAUUGUUAUCUCUAGGAUCCUGUGGUUUGUAACUAGAAGACCCAACAAUAUUCCUCUUGCCUCACAAAAAUAUUUAUAAUAUUUUUACAUUUUAAAAACUUAUUGAUGCUUAAAGAAAGUUAGACAUAAAGAAAAAUAUUAAAAUCUAAAACAAUUUAUUUUCACAUUUCUCACAAAUAUGUAUAUACACAUCCAAGUAUGCUCUGGUAUGUCAAAUAUUUUCAGGGUACAUAGCCACACCCCAGGGGCAGUUCAGGCGAUCUUCUACGACUGUUAAUUGGGCAGGAAAGCCAACGUGCUCCUCUUCACUGGUUCAGAUUCUGAUGGCUUUGGAAGGUAUCUGUCUGUAUUUCUGUUUUCAUAAAUUGGAAGAAUUACGUUUAUAGUCUUUGUCUUUGUGUGUGUGUGUGUGUGUGUGUGUGUGUGUGUGUGUGAUGCCGAUAUUUUAAGAUACUCAUUUUUAAGGGCCUCUUAUAUAUUAGGACAUAAACCCUCUAUUGCAAAAAAUGUUUUCCCCAGCAUGUCAUUAACUUUCAUUUAGUUGUUGAUAUUUCUGAUAUUCAAAAGUGUUAUUUGCAAGUAAUCAGAUCUACUUUUUCACUUGUGUUGUUUUCACCACAUUAUGUGUAAAGUCUUCACUUGAGAUAAGUUAAAUAUUUACUUGCAUUUUCUUGGCUUAAAAGUUGAAAUGUAUUUUCUUUUAACUAAUCCAUUAGAUAUGUAUGCAUGUAUGUUUGUGUGAAUGUGUGUAUUUAGCAUAGAAUAGUCUAAGAUAAAUGUAUCUAUGAGAUCCAGUUAUAUUAUCAAAAACACUAACAUCUCAGUGUCUAAACCCACAUUUUUUUCCUUGCUCAUGUAAAGUCUAUGUGUGUGCUGAAAGCUUUUGGACAGAUGCCCUCCACAGCAACAACACCAAGAACAAAUUAAGAAUUUGGACUGCACGUUUACCUGUUAAAAGCCUCUAAGCUCCGUUUUUCAGAGUACUUCCAUUUUAUGGCACCCCCAUCUCAACCCAAAGCUCUGGGUUCACUGUGGAAGAGGAGGAGAAUGUGGGAAAUGGGUCUAUCAGCUCUCAUGUACUUUGGGCCAGAAAAUAAUGCAUUGGCUCCUGAUAGACACAGUCAGGCUAUGGGACCAGUCAUCUAGUCCCGGCAUACUGACUAGAGGAGUGAAGAAGGAGAACUGGAAAUAUUGCUAAGGACUGGUAGUAUCUGCCACAAUUUACCCUUUUGUUUCUCCAGAUAUUCAGUGCAGUCUCCCUGUGGUAUAGAUAUGUAUGACAAUUAUACCUACCUCCCCUCUAAGAGAGAAAACCCCACGGUCUUCCUCAGUCAUGGCACUGAGCUCAAAGUCCAGAAUCCAGAAUCUCUGAGUGACACAAUUGUCCCUCCGUAUCCAUGGGGGUUUGUUUCCAGGACCCCCAUAGAUAUCCAAUCCACAGAUGCUCAAAUCACUGAUAUAAAAUGGUGCAGUAUCUGCACACAACUUAUACAUAUCCUUCCAUAUAUUUUAAAUCAUUUUUAUAUUACUUAUAACACCUAAUACAAUGUAAAUACUAUGUAAAUAGUUAAUGCUAUAUUGUUUUGUUUACAUUAGUUUUUAUUGUUAUAUUGUUUUUAUUGAGUUUUUAAAAAAUAUUUUCUAUCCACAGUUAGUCGAAUCCUUGGAUACAAAGGGCCUACUGCAUACUGUACUCUCUAUGUCAAGUCUACAGGUAGCUCCCAUAGCUUUGGAAGUCUAGCAAUUAAAAUGACAAGUUAUCUGGC